rnacentral:rRNA from 1 species
AUUGAACGCUGGCGGCAUGCUUUACACAUGCAAGUCGAACGGUAACAGGGUGCUUGCACCGCUGACGAGUGGCGAACGGGUGAGUAAUGCGUCGGAACGUGCCGAGUAGUGGGGGAUGACGCAGCGAAAGUUGUGCUAAUACCGCAUACGUACUGAGGUAGAAAGUGGGGGACCUUCGGGCCUCACGCUAUUCGAGCGGCCGACGUCUGAUUAGCUAGUAGGUGAGGUAAAGGCUCACCUAGGCGACGAUCAGUAGCGGGUCUGAGAGGAUGAUCCGCCACACUGGGACUGAGACACGGCCCAGACUCCUACGGGAGGCAGCAGUGGGGAAUUUUGGACAAUGGGCGAAAGCCUGACCCAGCCAUGCCGCGUGUCUGAAGAAGGCCUUCGGGUUGUAAAGGACUUUUGUCAGGGAGGAAAUCCCUAGUGCUAAUAACACUGGGGGAUGACAGUACCUGAAGAAUAAGCACCGGCUAACUACGUGCCAGCCGCCGCAGUAA